GACGAACGCUGGCGGCGUGCCUAAUACAUGCAAGUAGAACGCACAGUUUAUACCGUAGCUUGCUACACCAUACACUGUGAGUUGCGAACGGGUGAGUAACGCGUAGGUAACCUGCCUGGUAGCGGGGGAUAACUAUUGGAAACGAUAGCUAAUACCGCAUAAUAUUGAUUAUUGCAUGAUAAUUGAUUGAAAGAUGCUAUUGCAUCACUACCAGAUGGACCUGCGUUGUAUUAGCUAGUAGGUGAGGUAACGGCUCACCUAGGCGACGAUACAUAGCCGACCUGAGAGGGUGAUCGGCCACACUUGGACUGAGACACGGCCCAGAAUCCUACGGGAGGCAGCAGUAGGGAAUCUUCGGCAAUGGACGAAAGUCUGACCGAGCAACGCCGCGUGAGUGAAGAAGGUUUUCGGAUCGUAAAGCUCUGUUGUAAGAGAAGAACGGGUGUGAGAGUGGAAAGUUCACACUGUGACGGUAUCUUACCAGAAAGGGACGGCUAACUACGUG
rnacentral:rRNA from 1 species